CGGGUAAUAGCGCAGUUGGUAGCGCGCCUGGUUCGGGACUAGGAGGUCCCCGGUUCGAAUCCGGGUUGCCCGA
rnacentral:tRNA from 1 species